rnacentral:rRNA from 1 species
CUACGGGGUGCUGCAGUGGGGAAUAUUGGGCAAUGGGCGCAAGCCUGACCCAGCAACGCCGCGUGAGGGAAGAAGGUUUUCGGAUUGUAAACCUCUGUCCUUGGGGACGAAGAAGUGACGGUACCCAAGGAGGAAGCUCCGGCUAACUACGUGCCAGCAGCCGCGGUAAUACGUAGGGAGCGAGCGUUGUCCGGAAUUACUGGGCGUAAAGGGUGCGUAGGCGGCAUAUUAAGUCAGGUGUGAAAUACCCGGGCUCAACCCGGGGGGUGCAUUUGAAGCUGAUACGCUUGAGUGUGAGAGAGGAAAGUGGAAUGCCUAGUGUAGCGGUGAAAUGCGUAGAUAUUAGGAGGAACACCAGUGGCGAAGGCGACUUUCUGGCUCAUAACUGACGCUGAGGCACGAAAGCGUGGGGAGCAAACAGGAUUAGAUACCCGCGUAGUG